rnacentral:rRNA from 1 species
AUUCCAGCUCCAGUAGCGUAUAUUAAAGCUGUUGCAGUUAAAAAGCUCGUAGUUGGAUCUUGGGCCCAGGCCUGCGGUCCGCCGUGAGGCGAGUACUGCAGUCCUGGCCUUCCUCUCGGUUUUCGCCCGGUGCUCUUAACUGAGUGCCAGGAGAGGCCGGAACGUUUACUUUGAAAAAAUCGGAGUGUUCAAAGCAGGCCUCGCGCCUGAACAGCAGAGCAUGGAAUAAUGGGAUAGGACCUCGGUUCUAUUGCGUUGGUUUUCGGAACUCGAGGUAAUGAUUAAGAGGGACUGACGGGGGCAUUCGUAUUGCGGUGUGUGAGGUGAAAUUCUUGGAUCGCCGCAAGACGACCGACUGCGAAAGCAUUUGCCAAGAAUGUUUUCAUCA